GCAGUACUGGUUGUACCUGUACUACGGUGUGCAAGAAUGUAGUAUGUCAACAUCUCCACUCGUGACUACUCCACCCAUGACCCCCAUUCCUUUCUGCCUAGGAAAAGCAACAGAGAGGCCAGCCAGCAGCUUGCAGGAGAAGAAGAAGCUAGCUGGACGGACGGUGGGCAGGAGAGGCUCACUUGCCUCCCCUGGACCCUGGUGAUUCUUUGUACUGUGUGCUCUCCAUGCCGCCCGGUACGCGCCAAAAUUCUCCUUUUCAGGCCAUGAUCGAUCGAUAUCCCCUCUGGUUCGUGGACUUUCAGGACUAGAGUGUGCGAGUGUCAGUUGUUUUGAGCCACUAGUUUGUUUUUUUUCCUCUGAAUUUGUCAAACUUGACGGGCUCUACGUACUGAUUUGGAAGGCUUUGUGCCGUGGAUAUACAUCAUAUAGUACGUGGAACAACAAUUAGCUUGUGUAUUGUGCGCAGGAGGGGCUCAUGCGCCCCAGCUUGUCAGCUUGGGUGCUGCUCCUACGCGCCAAAAUUCUCCUUUUUCCGGCCUGCCUGCAACGGCACGCAACGAAUAUAUGUAAUCUGCGCCAGUGUCAUUGCUGUGAGCCACAA